UGUAUGGGUUUGUAGCAGACGGAUCAUGGGUGAGCAUAUCGGAGACUAAGCAAUGACUAAAUGUGUAUGAACAAAACCGUCCACUGUUUGCUUUCAUGUAAUGUCAAAGUAAUCUGAGAGCAUGAACACCAGAAAACACAACAGGAGUGAUUUGGAGAUCAGCAUCAUUUUGUGGAUCAGCUUGACGAGUCAGUCGACUGAAUAAUACUGAAGUUUUUCAAGCUGCUUUUCAUCCGUUUCCCCCCUUAGAUAAUUAUUAGCUUAACAUCCCCUUAACACAUGAUGGAAAUCAAUCUCACAUUAUGUUUUCACCACCACAGCACAGGUCUGCUACAAGAACACAUCCAGAGGUUUUUAGCUGAGGUUCAGAUCACCUCCAUUCCUCAGCACCGUGUACAUACCACGCCAGAUCAGAAAGCCCCAUCAAUGAACAAGUCUAACCUACUGGAAGAAGCAACCAGAUCAGAUUUGGGCCUAAGCACCUUGAUACCUGGUAGAAGAUGAAAUGACUGAGUCACCACAACAAUCUACGAUCAACGACCACGUCUGUCAUCCAGAAAGCACUUUGACCUUCUCUGUGGUGGUGUAUGAGACAAGAGAUAAAACAAAACCAAUAAAAUAUUGAAUAAAACUGUG